UACGGGGGGGGCAAGCGUUGUUCGGAAUUACUGGGCGUAAAGGGCUCGUAGGCGGCCAACUAAGUCAGACGUGAAAUCCCUCGGCUUAACCGGGGAACUGCGUCUGAUACUGGAUGGCUUGAGUUUGGGAGAGGGAUGCGGAAUUCCAGGUGUAGCGGUGAAAUGCGUAGAGAUGCGGAGGAACACCGAUGGCGAAGGCAGCCCCCCUGGGCUAGCACUGACGCUCAGGCACGAAAGCGUGGGGAGCAAACAGG
rnacentral:rRNA from 1 species